rnacentral:rRNA from 1 species
GAUGAACGCUGGCGGCGUGCCUAAUACAUGCAAGUCGAGCGAACGGACGAGAAGCUUGCUUCUCUGAUGUUAGCGGCGGACGGGUGAGUAACACGUGGAUAACCUACCUAUAAGACUGGGAUAACUUCGGGAAACCGGAGCUAAUACCGGAUAAUAUUUUGAACCGCAUGGUUCAAAAGUGAAAGACGGUCUUGCUGUCACUUAUAGAUGGAUCCGCGCUGCAUUAGCUAGUUGGUAAGGUAACGGCUUACCAAGGCAACGAUGCAUAGCCGACCUGAGAGGGUGAUCGGCCACACUGGAACUGAGACACGGUCCAGACUCCUACGGGAGGCAGCAGUAGGGAAUCUUCCGCAAUGGGCGAAAGCCUGACGGAGCAACGCCGCGUGAGUGAUGAAGGUCUUCGGAUCGUAAAACUCUGUUAUUAGGGAAGAACAUAUGUGUAAGUAACUGUGCACAUCUUGACGGUACCUAAUCAGAAAGCCACGGCUAACUACGUGCCAGCAGCCGCGGUAAUACGUAGGUGGCAAGCGUUAUCCGGAAUUAUUGGGCGUAAAGCGCGCGUAGGCGGUUUUUUAAGUCUGAUGUGAAAGCCCACGGCUCAACCGUGGAGGGUCAUUGGAAACUGGAAAACUUGAGUGCAGAAGAGGAAAGUGGAAUUCCAUGUGUAGCGGUGAAAUGCGCAGAGAUAUGGAGGAACACCAGUGGCGAAGGCGACUUUCUGGUCUGUAACUGACGCUGAUGUGCGAAAGCGUGGGGAUCAAACAGGAUUAGAUACCCUGGUAGUCCACGCCGUAAACGAUGAGUGCUAAGUGUUAGGGGGUUUCCGCCCCUUAGUGCUGCAGCUAACGCAUUAAGCACUCCGCCUGGGGAGUACGACCGCAAGGUUGAAACUCAAAGGAAUUGACGGGGACCCGCACAAGCGGUGGAGCAUGUGGUUUAAUUCGAAGCAACGCGAAGAACCUUACCAAAUCUUGACAUCCUUUGACAACUCUAGAGAUAGAGCCUUCCCCUUCGGGGGACAAAGUGACAGGUGGUGCAUGGUUGUCGUCAGCUCGUGUCGUGAGAUGUUGGGUUAAGUCCCGCAACGAGCGCAACCCUUAAGCUUAGUUGCCAUCAUUAAGUUGGGCACUCUAAGUUGACUGCCGGUGACAAACCGGAGGAAGGUGGGGAUGACGUCAGAUCAUCAUGCCCCUUAUGAUUUGGGCUACACACGUGCUACAAUGGACAAUACAAAGGGCAGCGAAACCGCGAGGUCAAGCAAAUCCCAUAAAGUUGUUCUCAGUUCGGAUUGUAGUCUGCAACUCGACUACAUGAAGCUGGAAUCGCUAGUAAUCGUAGAUCAGCAUGCUACGGUGAAUACGUUCCCGGGUCU